ensembl:snRNA U6 U6 spliceosomal RNA
GUGCUCGUUUUGGCAGCACAUAUACUAAAAUUUGAACGAUAUAGAGAUUAGCAUGGUCCCUGAGCAAGUAUGACACGUGAAUCGUGAAGCGUUCCAUAUUUUA